UCUGAGCUGGAAGGGUGAGAAGGAUGAGAUGCACGUGGUUUUGCUCCAGGGGAUGUCCUGAAAGUGCACUGCCUACCUGCCCCUGCUGCCGAGCACCACGCUCCACCUCCUUCUCCUGCUCAGCAGAUUUUUAGGAAUCCAGGGCUUGGACACCUGAAGCGUGUAUUCAGCAGCGCUGAAGAUCCUGAGGUGCUUCUAGAGAAAGAGCAGGAGCACACUGCCUCAUCUGAGCUGCCAUGCCAGACUCAGGGAGAGCUGUUCCCAGCCCGAGGGCAGGAAGAGCAGCUCAGGCAGCAGGUGGAAGAGCCACAGGAG